ACAAGAUUCAUCUUCUAACAUUGCUAAGCUAGAAGGAAUCUAUGAUGAUCAAGAUAUAUGGUGAUGAGAUGCUAGGAUGAGCUUCUAGGAAGAUUUCUCUUGAAUUUGCUAGCUUGAAAAGUAAUAUGUUCUGCUGCUGUUGUUGGUUUGCUCUUGUGGGACUGAGCAAAGGGUCUAGGAGACCCGUGGCCCAGACUUCUCAGUUGUGAAAGGCGAGGGAUGGCGGGCAAGGUGUGCCUAUUACUCUCUGCCGCUGUCUUCGUUCGAUAUUGGGUGUCGGGCCACCCUAGCCCGCCACUCAGGACCAUUGGUUAUGUUGAUGUUCUAUUUCUUUCCAAUUUUGAAAUUUUCAUCGUAUUCUAGUGUGUAAUCCGCCUUGAAUAUGAUUUGAUAUAAAAUACUAUGAGUUGGUAUUCUCUGUAAGUGAAUGAUGUUUUCUUUAACCAAAACCCUAUUUUAAAUACAUAUAAUCUAUAUUCUUUAAA